UAUUAAGCACUCUAUGUUCUAUCCUCCACCUUGACAAAUAUACCUGUCGGUGUCCGCCUGGCAAAGACCACCAGGAACACACCUAUGGUGGGACAAAGCACCACUGGCCAGAAAGUGUUUGUCACUAUUCCUAAAGAAGAUAUGACCAGGACAGUCAAUGCCUAACAGUUGGGCCACCAGGACCAAGGGGCUUCAUGGAGUCACCCGGAUACAUGGUUAUUGUUCCAAGCAGCCUUACACACAAGACAGCAACUUUGACUUUGAAAAGACACAGAAUCUCUGAGAACAUACUCUCCACAACCUUCCUCAAGACCAGAGCUUUCUGAAGAGGUGACUGUUUUUUUUUUUUUUUUUUUUUUUGGCCCACCCCAAUUCUGUCCUGAGAAAUAUCACAUCUGGAGAUACACAGCAUUCCAACUGAUAGGUGGCCUAGUGCCUAAUAUUUUCUGCUUGUGGACUUGCUUUUGAGACACAGCUACUCACAUUUAUGGUUCCUGGAAUUGUCUGGGAGUGGGAUGUGGAGUUGGAGAGUGGCCAUGACAGUAGCAAGGCGUGACUUCCCCCUUUAGAUGGCGGCACCUGUGGCUACUUCCUGUUACAUCUUCAUGUGGCCACAGGGUGGCGAUGUUUAGGAAUGUUACUGUUAUUUCCCAGGGGCUGUUUAGAUCCUUAGGGUAAAGCCAAGCAAUGCACAGAAGUGACUGGUGGUAAGGGUAGGACCAAGAGCUUCUAAACCAAAUAAAAAUAUUGCAACUGAAUGCUUCAAGGCACUUGAGUAAAUAAAAGUGGAACCAGCUGAGUCCCCCAUGAAGCUACAUUGCCCAGGUACCCGUAGUCAUCCCUGAUGAUUCAUCUCAUUUCUGCUACCACUUUUGUAACAUUUCUACAAUUUUGUCAUGUAACUAGUUUAGCACCAACUGUGCUAUAAUAUCUCCAUCUGAAUCAGUAGGCUUCCCUGUGGGAUUGGAAGCCCCCUGAGGGCAGGACCCACGCUUUCUGUAUCUGCUCAACCCUGAGGCUGGAUCAUGAACAACCUAGGUUCAUUGCAUGCUCAAUAACUGACUUGCUGAAUGAAAUAUUAUGAGAGUUAAGUGACAAAUAUUCUCAUAGAUCGGUUUGUCAGAGAAUGAACCCAAUAGGUGAAAUUUGGACUCAUUUCGGAAGAAAAAAAUAAAGGAGAGAAACUGGGGAAGGAAGUGGCACGUAGCCCCCUCCCUACUGAUCUCUUCCAACCCUGAGCUGGGGAAGAAGACCUACUGGAAGCAAAGGGGCACGGAGAACUGUAAGGGAUCCUCAGGGUGCUAUCCAGGGAAGAACAAAGGAGUACAAGAAAUACAAAUCAGAAAGGAGGGUCAAGGUCAUGAAUUUGGGAAAUUUAAAAAUGAUGUUAGUGGGGUCAGGCGCAGUUGCACACGCCUGGAAUCCUAGCAGCUCUGGAGGCUGAGACAGGAGGAUCCUGAGCUGAAAACCAGCCUCAGCAAAAAGCGAGGCACUAAGCAACUUGGUGAGACCCUGUCUCUAAAUAAAAUACAAAAUAGUGCUGGGGAGUGGCUCAGUGGUCCAGUGCCCUUGAGUUCAAUCCCUGGUACCUCCCGCCAAAAAAAAAAAGAUGUUGGUGGGGACUUGUUACUUGAUUCUUUCUAUUUUCCCGCAAUGAUUGCCCAAAUUUGGUGUUGAGAAAACUGCCAGAGAGGUGAUGAGAAGACCCAAAGCUCUGGGUGUAACCAAAAGCUCAGUCCUCAUCCUCAAUGCCAACCCAAUAACAGAGACAAGGUCUUGAGAAAAAGGGAAAAGAAGGUAUAUUCCUUUGCUAGCAAAGGAGAAACACAAGGGAAUCCUGUCCCAAAGGCUGUGAUUCUACAUAUCCACAGGAACAGAGGACUUUUAGAGAGGUGAUUCAGAGAAAAUGAGAUUAGGGAGGAGAGAUCAGGAAGGAGAGAAGUUUAGGGAAAGAAGAUCAGUGAGGAGAAAUUCAGGGAAAGAAGAUUGGGAAAAAGAAAAACAUGUAGUCACAGCAUCAAGUGAACCCCUGUUACACGGGGAGGCAGGAACAAGUACCCUGACCUACUCUGACUCAGUGGCUACUAGGUGUGGUCCUGGUGGUGGCCCAGGAUCAUGACCCUGGGUUGCUGUCCUUUGGCUCAGACAGGCUGCUUCCAGCUUCACUGAUGCACGCCCCUCUCCAUCAGCCUCAGGAGGCCCAGAGGAAGCUGCUGUUUUGUGACUUUGUAGAUGGGAAAGAAACUGCAGCUACUUGUCAGCAGGAGUUGAACAGAUCCCACGGGGACCCUGCAAGGUUGCUGAUGAGCACAGAUGAAUCGGGAAGCCAGCAGCGCCCUAGGAAAGUGUCGGGUACAUGUUGUGCCUCUCACACAAAUUCAAAAAAAUUAUUUUCUUUGGUUUGCAACACAGACAUCUUUCAGUGCAGUGCAAGUUCAGCAAAUUAUUGAGGAUCUUAGAUGCCUCUUUUAUUUCUGUUAAUCAGAUUAUAUUGACUGAUUAAGUAAGAUUUAUUAAUAACGUUCACUUAGGCGCAGCAGAGCGCUUUAUUAAUAAGUCAUUAUGUUGGGGACUUGAAAUGCCUGGCAUUCAAAAAGCAAUUCCAGUUGCUUUUGUAUUGCAAAUUUCUGGACUCUUGAAGAAACUAGCUUAUACCUGGUGUGUUACAUUCCUGCAGUGCUUAAAGAUAUCUUAGAAAACAGCCAGGAACUUGGCCCAAACCUUGGCACAGUAUACUUAUUGCUUUGCUUAGAAAGAUACUUGCUCGGGGACUCCCCCAUCCUGCCUUUAGACAAUCUCCAACUCCAAGCGACUCUUGGACAAGAGAUAAACAGAAGCAGCUCCCCUGUACAACAGUUGGGUAUACCCAUUUGUCUCUUCUUCCUUCCUUCCUUCCUUCCUUCCUUCCUUCCUAUUCUCUCUUUUUUGAUAUCUCCUCAUCUUUCUUCCCACAUUUACCUUCUCUGAUUUUGCCACCCUAGUUUAGCAUGGCACCCAGUGGUGUCCAGGGACGUCAUGAUGAGUCAGUAGUUGUUAUAUGGAGCCUUGGUUCAUGGAUCUUACACUAGACCGUAUCUCCCAUACCCACUUCAGAAUAUUAAUAUGAAAGCAUUAAUUUUUGGAAGAGACGUUCACAGCAAAGAGAAAUCCCAAAUAGCAAAAUAUAAAACAUCAAGAAAGAAUUGAAGAAAAAAAUGGAUGAAACCAGAGUACCAAGGAAGCUUGAUUUCUGAGUCAUCCCAGAAUGGAGCAGAAAUUAAUUACUCAGAGACAAAACUCAUUUUCUAUGUUAGAAACAAUCCACAAAAGACAUUUCUUGACCUUAGUUCUUAAUCCAUUGUAUUUGGCAGAUAAAAUCGAGGUUCUCUCUCUCUCUCUCUCUCUCUAAUCUGCUAAAAUUUUCUCAGAGAAAGCUAAUAAAAUAUUAUCUGGAUUGAGUUACAUUAUGUGCAUAUGACAGCAAAGACCACACCUUGAUUGUCCUGCCAGAGAUAUGGAUCUUGACCAACUGGAGAACCAGAGUUAGAGGAAACAAGCAAACAUACCAAAGACAGAAAGCAAACAGUCCUACAAGGAAAAGAAAAGUGAAGGCCUGGCUCUGAGCAUGAGCAGGGGAAAGGUGGGGGGAGCCGUGGGAAAACACAGAUGGCAGAUCAACUGUAAGUAUGAUAUUAGAAUAUGGCCUGAGUGCCACAUUGCAAAUACGGCCCAGGGACAUACAUUCAGGGUCAGAAAGAGGAGAGAUCAAAUCUUCAUGCUGUCAUUUGUCAUCAGAUAUGUGAAUUUGUCUUCUGGUGACUUUGUUCAUUUGAAAAAUGAGGUUGAUAGCACUGAAAAAUCAAAUGAGUCGAUGUAGGGGAAUUACCUGUACCACUCCCUAGACAGAAGCAAUCUAUGACUAUUGGUUGGGGCAGAUGCAAUCACUCUGCAUCAUCAAGUUGCCCACAGUCCAGUUUCCUGCUGUGAGGUGUUUCUCCCUCCCCAAUAAUAUGACAGCACUUUUUACCUGACUAGGUCCAACAGGAAAAAAAAGGAGAUGAUAGCAACCAAUUUUGGGAAACGGUAAGCAGAUGGAUGUGUGAUGACUGACUUGAUAGAGCAGAGGGGGCAGGAUCCUUGGCCCCAGACAAGCAGCCCAGUACCACAGAAGACACCCAAGACCCAGGCAUCCAUGACACAAGUGUGUUGGAAACGGCUUGAAGGCAAGACUACAAACAGGAAUACUCAUUAAAAGUUUACUGAAGACGUAUGUAGAUCUUGAGCUAGCUUCUGCUGCUCUAUGUAGCCUGGGGACUCCUUAUUUUUACCAGCAGAAAGUAGUUUUUUCUAGAGAGUAAAAAAAAAAAGUAGGGGAUCUUGGGGCAGGAGGCACUGUUAACAUUAUGGACACCAAGAAAUGGGGAAUUGACUCCCAGCUCUCUUCCCUCACAAAGGUUUAGAUCUAUAAUCCUCAGAGAGGAUUUCAGAUGAUCCUUCUUUGUGGAAUCUGACCAGUUCAGGCAGAAGAAUGUAAAAAUACUAAUCAGAGCUUCCUUAAAGGAUGGCUCAGCCAGAUCAACUUUCACUGAAGCCCACAUCCAAUGAGCCCCACAAACUUGCUUUGAACUUAUAAUCAGGAUUUUUUUUGGGGGGUGGGGGGUACCGGUGAUUAAACUCAGGGGCACUUGACCACUGAGCCUCAUCCCCAGUUCUAUUUUUUGUAUUUUAUUUGGAGACAGAGUCUCAUUGAGUUGCUUAGCACUUCGCUUUUUGCUGAGGCUGGCUUUGAACUUGUUUUUUUUUUUUUGUUUUGUUUUUUAGAGAGAGAGAGAGAGAGAGAAUUUUAAAUAUUUAUUUUUUUAGUUUUCGGCGGACACAACAUCUUUAUUUGUAUGUGGUGCUGAGGAUCGAACCCAGUCCGCACGCAUGCCAGGCGAGCGCGCCACUGCUUGAGCCACAUCCCCAGCCCCUGGCUUUGAACUUGUGGUCCUCCUGCCUCAGUCUCAGCUGGGAAUACAGUUGUGUGUUACCGCGCCCGGUUACAAUCAGGUUUUAAUUUUUUACUCUUAAAUAUUAGUAAGCAACCAAAAAACACUAGCCAAUUGAGUUAAACCUCAAAAUUAAAGAUGGAAAUAAAAACACAGCAAAAAACAAUUUGUAGAAGCAAAGACCAUGUAGGAAAGAACACUUAAAGUUAUAAUUAAUAUUGUGUUAAAGAAUAGAAUUCUGUAAAUCAGCAUUUUAUGUCAUAAUAAAGCACAUAAAAUUUUAAAAAAGUAUAAUUAAUAGAGUCAUAGAAAGUACCUACGGACAUUUUUAUUACUAUUACUGUAUAUAUGUAAUGGACUGUAUGACCAAUGUGAUUCUACAAUAUGUAUACUCAGAAAAAUGAGAAAUUAUAUCCCAUCUAUGUAUGAUAUAUCAAGUAUAUAAGUGCAUUCUACAGUCAUGUAUAACUAACUAAAAAAAACAAAUAAAAAAUUAAAAAAUGGAAAUAAUAAAAAAAAGAAAAAAGUACCUAUGGAACAAGAACAAGAUGCUAUAAAAAAUCAAGGGACUAAAAAAAAACUCUUGGAAAUUAAAAGCACUAUUGCUGAAAUAGUGUUCACCAGAAGGGUUGGAAGAUAAAGCUGAGGAGUUAUUUCAGAAAGUAAAACAAACGGGCAGGAGCAGAGGAGAAACAGAAGAUAUUUAAGAUAGGAAAAACAGAAUGAAGUCAUCACUAAUUCAAGAAAAUUUCACACAACUUAGGCACCCAGAACCAUGGGUGGAAAUGACUCCAUAUUAAGUUACAUUAUCAUGAGUUUUCAGACACUUAAAACCAAAAGAAGGUCUUAUAGACUUCCAGACAGGAAAAACAAACUACAUAUAAAGGAUUGAAUCUGAAUGGCUUUGCAUUUCUCAACAACAGUUCUUAAGUCUACAUGGUAAUGGAUCAAUGCCAUCAAAAUUCUGAGGUCUCAUUAUUUCUAGACUUCUCUAUAUUCAUCUAUGUAUUAAUGAAAUGAGAGGGCAGCAUAAAACAUUCUCAAAAUGUUAGUUGCCAAGCACUUAACAAAAAUCUUCUGUUUGGAGAUUAGACAAGAAAGAGGAAGUUGUGAGUUUUAGGGAGGAUGAAGAAGAAGCAACUGUGUACCAAGUAUGAGGGCAACCAGAUCAGAUAGGAGCUGUUAGCAUUUCCAGAAGGGAGAGCUUCAAGAUGAAAAUGAUUGAAUAUUGUUAUGUCUGAGUGUCUUGAUUUAGACCAUUGAAUGGCUGUGAACAAUUCUUCACUAAAUGUCAAGUACAUCUAAACUAAGCAAAGAAUUACUACUGACUCAGGGAAAAGCAAAAUUAUGCAUAAGGUAGUUGGAGAAUAUUAUAAUAAUCAUUUGCUGCAACUUUUUGUUACCGGAGGGUGCAAAAAUCGGCACAGCAGCUGCAAUGUGCGCGAGCCGGUCAUGGCGCAGCAAGGACUUUUCAAGCGGCUGCAGCGGGCUCUUCCAAGCCCCCGCCCGGGGAGCAGGACACCACUGCUGGGAGCCCAAAUCUAGACCUGACCUGGAGGCACAGUCUCCCAGGCUCUUGCUCCCUGUGCUGGGAAGCAGUUUGAGCCCCGGACUCUCCCCGGGGCCAUCUGGGGCUGCCCAGGACGCUGCAGGUGGAAGACGGCCCAAGUCCCUGAAGUUUGAUCAUUUCCAAGGCCAGUACUACAAUGGUUCUCCCACACCUGGAAGCUAAUGAAUAAUGAGCACUAUAUUAAGGCUUAUAUCAAAUGUAAAAAACCUUGAGAUAAUGUACUAAAUUGUUCAGAAGGUUGUUUUCUUAGUGCCUGCUGGAAUACUACAGGAUUUUCUUUAGCCAUCCGAGUUCCUGCCUUCGUCCCAGUGCCGGUAAAGACCAAGGUGGAAGAAUUUCCAGUGUUGCUGAGAACCGGACGAAACUUUGGCUGAGACCUGGACUGUGAUUUAAGCUAGCUGCCUGCAGAACUUACCUGGACUGUGAUUUGACCUAUUGAGAUACUGCUUUACCUGUACUGAGACAACAAACUGUAAUCUACAACAAAUUGUAACUCAGUAUCUUUGCUGACGGUGUCAUUGCUGGUAUAAUUUUUCCAAGGGCUUCUUGCAUGGAGCCAUCAAGUGGCUUGGUAUUGUGGCAUUUUGUAUCCUCCCCUUCUGCUUGUAGCAGAUUAUUUAUGGUGUUUUGUGUAAAAACCACUAUGGUCGUUAUUUAAAUUAAACAAAAGGGGGAAAUGUUAGAGUCUGUAAACAAGUCAGGAUGGUGCCUGGCAAAUGUUAGAGUCUGUAAACAAGUCUGGAUGGCGCCUGGCAUUUUGCCAGAGGGAGUGGUUUGAGAAGUAACAAAAGCGAGCCAUUAAGUGUGGAGAUUCCUUAUUGGUUGACUGCUGUAUCUAGUUUACGUUAAUUAAGAUAAGCUGUGUGGAAUGUAUAAAUACCUCUCCUGUCCUACAAUAAAGGACUCCUACUCCUGCUGUA